rnacentral:rRNA from 1 species
ACGAACGCUGGCGGCGUGCCUCAUACAUGCAAGUUGAGCGAUGAAGAUUGGUGCUUGCACCACUUUGACGAGCAGCGACCGGGUGAGUAACGCGUGGGGAAUCUGCCUUUGAGCGGGGGACAACAUUUGGAAACGAAUGCUAAUACCGCAUAACAACUUUAAACAUAAGUUUUAAGUUUGAAAGAUGCAAUUGCAUCACUCAAAGAUGAUCCCGCGUUGUAUUAGCUAGUUGGUGCGGUAAAGGCUCACCAAGGCGAUGAUACAUAGCCGACCUGAGAGGGUGAUCGGCCACAUUGGGACUGAGACACGGCCCAAACUCCUACGGGAGGCAGCAGUAGGGAAUCUUCGGCAAUGGACGAAAGUCUGACCGAGCAACGCCGCGUGAGUGAAGAAGGUUUUCGGAUCGUAAAACUCUGUUGGUAGAGAAGAACGUGGGUGAGAGUGGAAAGCUCAUCAAGGGACGGUAACUACCCAGAAAGGGACGGCUAACUACGU